AUAUUGAGCAAUGGGCGAGAGCCUGACCCAGCCAUGCCGCGUGCCGGAUGAAGGCCUUCUGGGUUGUAAACGGCUUUUCUCAGGGAAGAAAAAGGGUAUGCGUACUCAACUGACGGUACCUGAGGAAUAAGCACCGGCUAACUCCGUGCCAGCAGCCGCGGUAAUACGGAGGGUGCAAGCGUUGUCCGGAUUUAUUGGGUUUAAAGGGUGCGUAGGCGGCCCGUUAGGUCCGGGGUGAAAGCCCACAGCUCAACUGUGGAACUGCCCUGGAUACUGGCGGACUUGAGUCCAGACGAGGUUGGCGGAAUGGAUGGUGUAGCGGUGAAAUGCAUAGAUACCAUCCAGAACCCCGAUUGCGAAGGCAGCUGACUAGGCUGGUACUGACGCUGAGGCACGAAAGCGUGGGGAGCGAAC
rnacentral:rRNA from 1 species